rnacentral:rRNA from 1 species
GACGAACGUUGGCGGCGUGCUUAACACAUGCAAGUCGAACGGAAAGGCCCUGCUUUUGUGGGGUGCUCGAGUGGCGAACGGGUGAGUAACACGUGAGUAACCUGCCCUUGACUUUGGGAUAACUUCAGGAAACUGGGGCUAAUACCGGAUAGGAGCUCCUGCUGCAUGGUGGGGGUUGGAAAGUUUCGGCGGUUGGGGAUGGACUCGCGGCUUAUCAGCUUGUUGGUGGGGUAGUGGCUUACCAAGGCUUUGACGGGUAGCCGGCCUGAGAGGGUGACCGGCCACAUUGGGACUGAGAUACGGCCCAGACUCCUACGGGAGGCAGCAGUGGGGAAUAUUGCACAAUGGGCGGAAGCCUGAUGCAGCAACGCCGCGUGCGGGAUGACGGCCUUCGGGUUGUAAACCGCUUUCGCCUGUGACGAAGCGUGAGUGACGGUAAUGGGUAAAGAAGCACCGGCUAACUACGUGCCAGCAGCCGCGGUGAUACGUAGGGUGCGAGCGUUGUCCGGAUUUAUUGGGCGUAAAGGGCUCGUAGGUGGUUGAUCGCGUCGGAAGUGUAAUCUUGGGGCUUAACCCUGAGCGUGCUUUCGAUACGGGUUGACUUGAGGAAGGUAGGGGAGAAUGGAAUUCCUGGUGGAGCGGUGGAAUGCGCAGAUAUCAGGAGGAACACCAGUGGCGAAGGCGGUUCUCUGGGCCUUUCCUGACGCUGAGGAGCGAAAGCGUGGGGAGCGAACAGGCUUAGAUACCCUGGUAGUCCACGCUGUAAACGGUGGGUACUAGGUGUGGGGUCCAUUCCACGGGUUCCGUGCCGUAGCUAACGCUUUAAGUACCCCGCCUGGGGAGUACGGCCGCAAGGCUAAAACUCAAAGGAAUUGACGGGGCCCCGCACAAGCGGCGGAGCAUGCGGAUUAAUUCGAUGCAACGCGUAGAACCUUACCUGGGUUUGACAUGGAUCGGGAGUGCUCAGAGAUGGGUGUGCCUCUUUUGGGGUCGGUUCACAGGUGGUGCAUGGCUGUCGUCAGCUCGUGUCGUGAGAUGUUGGGUUAAGUCCCGCAACGAGCGCAACCCUUGUUCACUGUUGCCAGCACGUUAUGGUGGGGACUCAGUGGAGACCGCCGGGGUCAACUCGGAGGAAGGUGGGGAUGACGUCAAGUCAUCAUGCCCCUUAUGUCCAGGGCUUCACGCAUGCUACAAUGGCUGGUACAGAGAGUGGCGAGCCUGUGAGGGUGAGCGAAUCUCGGAAAGCCGGUCUCAGUUCGGAUUGGGGUCUGCAACUCGACCUCAUGAAGUCGGAGUCGCUAGUAAUCGCAGGUCAGCAACGCUGCGGUGAGUACGUUCCCGGGGCU